rnacentral:rRNA from 1 species
ACGAACGCUGGCGGCGUGCUUAACACAUGCAAGUCGAACGGUGAAGCGCCUUCCUUUUUGGUGGGUGUGGAUGAGUGGCGAACGGGUGAGUAACACGUGAGUAACCUGCCCCCUUCUUCUGGAUAACCGCAUGAAAGUGUGGCUAAUACGGGAUAUUCUGGGUCUGUCGCAUGAUGGGUCUGGGAAAGAUAUUGUUUCGGUGGGGGAUGGGCUCGCGGCCUAUCAGCUUGUUAGUGGGGUGAUGGCCUACCAAGGCGGUGACGGGUAGCUGGCCUGAGAGGGUGGACGGUCACACUGGGACUGAGACACGGCCCAGACUCCUACGGGAGGCAGCAGUGGGGAAUAUUGCACAAUGGGCGCAAGCCUGAUGCAGCGACGCCGCGUGAGGGAUGGAGGCCUUCGGGUUGUGAACCUCUUUCGCCAGUGAAGCAGGCCUGCCUCGUUUGUGGGUGGGUUGACGGUAGCUGGAGAAGAAGCGCCGGCUAACUACGUG